rnacentral:lncRNA from 1 species
CAGGUCUCAAACUCUCAAUCCACAGGCCUUUGCGUGUGCUCUUCUCCCCACCUGAAAUCCUCCCCCACCGAAUGCCUGUCUGGGAUCAAAUGUCACCUCCUCCAAGAAGCCUUCCUGACCCUCCUUGAGCCACACCCUACAGUCCAACUCUUCCCCGUGUGGCCAAGAUCCCUUCUGCUUUCCAGCCUGCUGCCCAGCCC